rfam:Trichuris suis scaffold137.5, whole genome shotgun sequence.
CAAACGGCCCUUUUCAGGGCCACCAAAUGCCUUUUACUGCAACAUG